rnacentral:rRNA from 1 species
CGCGGGAGAUGUGGAACGGUGAAUGUACCAGUUCCUAAUGGAUCACCGAAGUUAAGCAACGUUGUGCAUGGUUGGUAUUCGAAUAGGUGACCAUCUGGAUAAUCGCGUCCUGCUGGCU